rnacentral:rRNA from 1 species
AUUGAACGCUGGCGGCAGGCCUAACACAUGCAAGUCGAGCGUGAAAGGGCUUCGGCCUGAGUAAAGCGGCGGACGGGUGAGUAACGCGUAGGAAUCUACCUGGUAGUGGGGGAUAACGUUCCGAAAGGGACGCUAAUACCGCAUACGUUCCGAGGAAGAAAGCAGGGGACCUUCGGGCCUUGUGCUAUCAGAUGAGCCUGCGUCCGAUUAGCUAGUUGGUGGGGUAAAAGCCGACCAAGGCGACGAUCGGUAACUGGUCUGAGAGGAUGAUCAGUCACACUGGAACUGAGACACGGUCCAGACUCCUACGGGAGGCAGCAGUGGGGAAUACUGGACAAUGGGCGCAAGCCUGAUCCAGCCAUGCCGCGUGUGUGAAGAAGGCCUUCGGGUUGUAAAGCACUUUAGGCGGGGAGGAAGGCCUGAUGGCUAAUAUCCAUCAGGAUUGACGUUACCCGCAGAAUAAGCACCGACAAACUUCGUGCCAGCCGCCGCUGUAAUAC